CAACCCUCAAGCCCCCGGGCUUGGUGUUGGGGCUCGGCCCGUCCCUAGCGGCGCGCCGUCCCCGAAAUCUAGUGGCGGUCACGCUGUACUCCUCUGCGUAGUAAUCUAACCUCGCAACGGGACAAAGCGCGGCCACGCCGUUAAACCCCCAACUUCUGAAGG
rnacentral:misc_RNA from 1 species